UUAUUAAAAAUCCUGAGAUAUCACUAGAUUUGCUAAAUCCGGCCGGAAUCCUGAGAAGAGUCGAAAAAUCCUGAAAUCUCAGGACAAAUCCUGAGAUAUGGUAACCCUAUAUAUGAUGGAAAAAGGAUUGGCCGACUCCUCGAACAACGCUGGUCUGGACAUUUAGCAGUUACAAAAGUUGUAUACGAUAAUUAUUCAUCGAUUUUGCAGACUUUGAAAGAAAUUAAAAAUGGCAGAUUCAACGGUGAUGACGUCGCCAAGAGUAUAGGUAUUAAAAAAGUCAUGCUUGAUCUGGAAUUCCGAAUAGCCAUGGUUGUGGCCAAAAAAAUCUUAUCCACGCUACAACCUGCAGACGCAGCUUUGCAAGCCCGAAGCGCAGGAUUAAAAGAUGCCAUAACAAUCAUAAAGUGUGUCAAAGAUGAAAUUAUUAAAUUAAGAUCAAAUCAAAUGUAUAAUCAAAUUCUGGAAGAAGCUAAGUCUAACAAGCAAUGACUGCAGCGAAUCUGAAAAUAGGACACAGACCUCGAAGAGGCAAGUAAAAAAACCAAAUCGGAUGGAUGACUAUUUGACGUACACCCCCUGUUCCUCCGCCAGACAAAAUAUAGAUGAGAACGACGAGCCAUUUAAGUCUGAGUAUUUCGAAACGUUGGACAUUUUAAUUGCUGAAUUACAAAGAAGGUUUUCGGACAACGAUGAUUUAAUUAAUUCGAUUGCAAGUCUUGAUGAGUUGGAUGUAGAUAAAAUGGUUCCACUGAAAAAUUUGGGUCUGAAAAUUCCAUCAAGAGAAGAGGCUAGUGUGGUUAAAGCUUACUUGAGUCGUAACGAGGAUAUAAUGGAAAAUACAUUGCAAGUUUUGUACAGGCAACGAGAGGCGUUCAAAGAUACAUAUGAACUUUUUGCGUCUGUGGCGACCAUAGGAUGUAGCACUGCAGUGUGUGAAUCUACGUUUUCAACUUUAACUGCAAUCAAUAGGCCUCAAAGGCUGUCAAUGGGUCACGAGAGAAUGGCUGGUAUGGUAUUUCUGGCCUUUGAAAAAAAAAGAACAAAAUCAGUUGAUCUGAACGAAGUUCUUCGCAUUUUUAAUAACAUGGCGAAUCGUAGAAUUCAGCUGUUUUAAAUGUUUUUUAUUAUUAUGUUAGUUAAUUAUUAUAAUAAGUACGCAAAAACAAUGUGAUCUUAAUGAUA